GUUNAAGACUGCGGACGGCUCACNAAAUCAGUUAUNAUCUGCUCGAAUGGUCAAGGUUAUUGGAUAACCGUGGGAAAUCUAGAGCUAAUACAUGCACCUCGACACAUGGGCAACUGUGUGUCUGCAUUUAUUAGAAUAAUACCAACCGUGUGAGCAAUCACAUGUGGUGAAUCUAGAUAACUGUGCAGAUCGUAUGGCCUCGAGCCGGCGACAUUUCGAUUGAGUUUCUGCUCUAUCAACUAGAUGGCAGUGUAAGGCACUGUCAUGGUGAUCACGGAUAACGGGGGAUCAGGGUUCGAUUCCGGAGAGGGAGCCUGAGAAACGGCUACCACAUCCAAGGAAGGCAGCAGGCGCGCAAAUUACCCAAUCCAGACAAUGGGAGGUGGUGACGAAAAGUACCGAAUGGCAGCCUAUGGUUGUCAGUUUGGAAUGAAAACAAUUUAAGUAAUUGAAUUGAGAAACAACUGGAGGGCAAGUCUGGUGCCAGCAGCCGCGGUAAUUCCAGCUCCAGUAGCGUAUCUCAACGUUGCUGCGCUUAAAACGCUCGUAGUUGGAUCACGCACUGUUUGUUGGUGAACCACAGGGGUUUGCAUCACACUCUCCAUCGUCGGUCGAUAUGUCCUCAUGUCGUAUCGGGGUGGAGGGAGCACGCUCUUGUGGUUAUUAGCCAGCAAGCAGUAAUUGCACGUGGGGAUGGAUAUUGGUCUUUAGUGCACUGAUAUCCGUGUCCCACGGGGUGUGCCUUGAGUAAAUCAGAGUGCUUAAAGCAGGCUUUACGCUUGAAUGUUUUUAGCAUGGAACGAACAAUAGUGUAUGGUGUGUGUUGAGAUCGGGUCAGUCGACUUGUCGGCUGCUCCGCAACGCACGACACCGACCACCAAUUACGGAUGUUGGUUCCGUAUUGGGGUACUGAUUAAGAGGAGCGGUUGGGGGCAUUGGUAUUUGGCAGCGAGAGGUGAAAUUCUUGGACCUGCUAAGGACUAACAAAUGCGAAGGCAUCUGUCCAGACCGUAUCCAUUAAUCAAGAACGAUAGUGAGAGGUUCGAAGACGAUCAGAUACCGUCCUAGUUCUCACUGUAAACGAUGCCGACCCGGGAUCAGUUUGGAGCAUUAUUCCACGCUCGAGGUUGGUCCCCCUGGGAAACCUAAAGUCUUUCGGUUGCGGGGGGAGUAUGGUCGCAAGGCUGAAACUUAAAGGAAUUGACGGAAGGGCACCACCAGGGGUGGAGCCUGCGGCUUAAUUUGACUCAACACGGGAAAACUUACCUGGUCCGGACAUCAAAAGGAUUUACAGACUAAAAGAUCUUUAAUGAUAUGGUGAUUGGUGGUGCAUGGCCGUUCUUAGUUCGUGGAGUGAUCUGUCAGGCCAAUUCCGGUAACGAACGAGACCACAAUCUCCACUUGAAGAAUCGGAAAAGGCGUCGGUUCACUAAUCUUGAGGCAACGAGAGGUUAGCAAAGUGACGUUAUCGGCAAUGCGGAGACUUCUGUUGAGUAUUUGGCUGGGUGGCAACACUUAGCUGGAGGUAGGCAGUGGUUCGCCCGUAUUCCUUCNGGCANGACAAUAUGCGGUUCACCCGAAUUGUGUAUUGUAUCGUGGAGAGACAACGGAACAUAUAACAAAAUCCGAGGAAGNGUGGNUAUAACAGGUCUGUGAUGCCCUUAGAUGUUCAGGGCUGCACGCGCGCUACAAUGGCGGNGACAANGAGUUUCUGGAUCGAAAGAUUUGGGUAACCUUACAAUCGCCGCCGUGAUGGGAAUUGACGUUUGUAAAUACGUCAUGAAAGAGGAAUCCNUAGUAAGUGUGAUUCAUCAAAUCCCNNGNUCCNNGAGUCAANCCCCUGGGUNCCAAGGGGANACCAAUGCCCCCUAACCAGCUCCUNUUAAUCUUAAAAUAACCCCAAUACGGAACCAACAUC
rnacentral:rRNA from 1 species